UGCCUAACACAUGCAAGUCGAGCGAGAGAGUCCUUCGGGAUGAGUACAGCGGCGGACGGGUGAGAAACGCGUGAGAAUCUGCCCUUUAGUGAAGAAUACCCUCGAGAAAUCGAGGUUAAUACUGCAUAAGUCCCUUCGGGGAGAAAGAUGGCCUCUUGCUGUCGCUAAAGGAUGAGCUUGCGUACUAUUAGCUAGUUGGUGAGGUAAUGGCUCACCAAGGCGAUGAUGGUUAGCCGGCCUGAGAGGGUGUACGGCCACACUGGAACUUAGACACGGUCCAGACUCCUACGGGAGGCAGCAGUGAGGAAUAUUGCGCAAUGGGCGAAAGCCUGACGCAGCGACGCCGCGUGAAGGAUGAAGGUCUUCGGAUUGUAAACUUCUGUUAAGUGGGAAGAAAGAUCCAUUUCUAAUACAAAUGGAGGAUGACGGUACCACUAGAGAAAGCACCGGCUAAACUCGUGCCAGCAGCCGCGGUAAUACGAGUGGUGCAAGCGUUAUUCGGAAUUAUUGGGCGUAAAGGGCGCGUAGGUGGUAUGUUAAGUCAACUGUUAAAUUCUCCGGCCUAGCUGGAGGCAAGCGGUAGAUACUGGCGUACUUGAGGAUGGAAGAGAGAAGUGGAAUUCUUGGAGUAGCGGUAAAAUGCGUAGAUAUCAAGAGGAACACCAAUGGCGAAGGCAGCUUCUAGGUCCACUCCUGACACUGAGGCGCGAAAGCGUGGGGAGCAAACAGGAUUAGAUACCCUGGUAGUCCACGCUGUAAACGAUGAUCACUAGACGUUAGAUCUGCUUGCAGGUCUAGUGUCGUAGCUAACGCGUUAAGUGAUCCGCCUGGGGGAUUACGGUCGCAAGAUUAAAACUCAAAGAAAUUGACGGGGGGGUCCCGCACAAGCGGUGGAACAUGUGGUUUAAUUCGACACUACGCGAGGAACCUUACCUGG
rnacentral:rRNA from 1 species